AACGAACGCUGGCGGCAUGCCUAACACAUGCAAGUCGAACGAGAAACCGGAGCUUGCUCCGGCAGACAGUGGCGGACGGGUGAGUAACGCGUGGGGACCUGCCUUAGGGUACGGGACAACUCAUGGAAACGUGAGCUAAUACCGUAUACGUUCUUUCAUUUUAGUGAUGAAAGAAGAAAGAUUUAUUGCCCUUAGAUGGACCCGCGUUAGAUUAGCUAGUUGGUGAGGUAAUGGCUCACCAAGGCGACGAUCUAUAGCUGGUUUGAGAGGAUGAUCAGCCACACUGGGACGUGAGACACGGCCCAGACUCCUACGGGAAGGCAGCAGUGGGGAAUAUUGGACAAUGGGGGAAACCCUGAUCCAGCAAUGCCGCGUGAGUGAAGAAGGCCUUAGGGUUGUAAAACUCUUUCAGUGGGGAAGAUAAUGACGGUACCCACAGAAGAAGCUCCGCUAACU
rnacentral:rRNA from 1 species